rnacentral:misc_RNA from 1 species
GCUCCUCCUCCGUUGCUCAGUGGCGGAAUGUUUCGAUCGUGGCGUGUUUGCUUUAUGGUCGGUGCUCUUUCCAUCCACUUUUACCCUUAAUUCCCCUUUAUGGAUAGGUGAAGGGCUUUCUUUCUUAAGAACGAACUCCUCCUCGUCAUCUAAAUUAUCAUCCUGGGCACUAUCUUUGGCUGAUUUUAUCAUUUCUAUAAAG